GACGAGUCCUUAACUGACGCUAAAGCUCGAAAGUGCGGGUAUCGAACAGGAUUAGAUACCCUGGUAGUCCGCACGGUAAACGAUGGAUGCCCGCUGUCUGCGAUACACUGUAGGCGGCCAAGAGAAAUCGUUAAGCAUCCCACCUGGGGAGUACGCCGGCAACGGUGAAACUCAAAGGAAUUGACGGGGGCCCGCACAAGCGGAGGAACAUGUGGUUUAAUUCGAUGAUACGCGAGGAACCUUACCCGGGCUUGAACUGCAGGCGAACGAUACAGAGAUGUUGAGGCCCUUCGGGGCGCCUGUGGAGGUGCUGCAUGGUUGUCGUCAGCUCGUGCCGUGAGGUGUCGGCUUAAGUGCCAUAACGAGCGCAACCCCUUUCUCCAGUUGCCAUCAGGUGAUGCUGGGCACUCUGGAGACACUGCCACCGUAAGGUGUGAGGAAGGUGGGGAUGACGUCAAAUCAGCACGGCCCGACGGGCGGUGUGUACACACGUGUUACAAUGGGUGGUACAGAGAGUCGGUGCAGCGCAAGCUGCAUCUAAUCAUGAAAGCCAUCCUCAGUUCGGAUUGGGGUAUGCAACCCGACGCCACGAAGCUGGAUU
rnacentral:rRNA from 1 species